GGUGUCAAGUUGGUGUCAAAUUGGUGUGCGGGAAAUACAAAGAGCAAUAAUAACAACGAGUUAUGAUCGAAUGACUACCGCCUCAUAAUCGGCAGGUCCCCAGUUCAAGUCUGGGAAGGCCCACCA
rnacentral:tRNA from 1 species